GGGACUUGUAGGCCGGGCGGGACGGCGCGGUGUACUGGAAGAAGGUGGGCGUGUCCGGGGUGACGUCUCGCCGCACGCUGGGGUCUCUGAUGACGUUGAGGUUGCGCAGGGCGACCAUGUCGAAGGCCUCCGUGUCCUCCUCGCCGCCGCCCUCGUCGUCGUAGCGGACGAUGUUCUCUCGGAUGUCUCGCUCCUCCUCCAGGAUGAGGGGCACCUUCCUCCUGCGACGCAUGGUCACGAUCAACAGGACCAUCACUGCGGAGACACACGACAUGAUGGACUCAAUAUCCAGUGACAAAUGACGGCGUUCAGCACCAUCGAGUGUUGACAGCGCCAUUAAGAGCCUCUGGGACACUUUAGCGCUGAAGACGUCCGACGCUUACAACAAUUAGCAAACCCCUGAUAUUAGCUAAGUGUGCUAGAAAAAGCCUCCCUGGACAACGUGAGGACUCAUUUGUCCACUUAGAUGGCUGUGCUGCUGACAGGACAUAGAUUACACGUCACAGUGUGUAUACAGUUACACAAUAGAGACACUUAUAGGACAUACAGUCCAACAGCACCCUUUCAAUCGUUGCAGACGUAGCGACAACAUUACUCUAAAUGUCAAACACCCCUCUUUGGAAUAAUUGUUGGAUGACUAAAAAUACAGAAACUUGAUCAUUUACCGUGUCACAAAAGACUAAAAAGGGCCACACUGGAAAAAUGAUGCAUAAUGCGAGCGUAACGAUGGAAUUGUACAAGAAAAGAGUCGUUCUAUCACGAGAAUAAAGUGGGAAUACUACGAAAACAGCAUCGUAUUUAUUUAGAAAAAGUAGUGGUUUUCCGGAAAGAAAGUGUAUUUGUUCCAAACACUUUGUAAUCUUACAAAGAAAAAGUGAAAAUGACAAAAGAGUUGACAUAUGUACAUCCUGUAUCGGUGCUGUCGUUUGCAUCACUUGACUCAUCACAGCAAUUCAAUAUGCAUGUGAUGUGUUCAUGUCAUCCGUUUGCUAACUGGUGAUGCUUGUUGCCACUCUAUUGCUCCUGUACUUGACUGUUUGCAGGGAGAGACAUUUCUUUCAUUUUCGGAAUAUUUAGGAAAAUACCGUAAAUUCCGGUGUGUGGCAUGCAUGAGUCUGAGGACCAGUCAGCUCUUUGACAGGAGCCAAUCAUGAGCUAUGAAAAAACCUCACGAACCCAUUGGAAAUACAGGAGUUUAUAACAGUCUGACUCACGGUUUCAUCUUACAAACAAACUCAUCACACAGCAAGUUCACACUCAAACGUUAUACCUCAGAAAUAUACAAACAUGUACCAAUAUAAGUUUAAAAAGAAAAAAAACAUUUCAAAGUUUUCCCAUGAUGCAUUUCAUUUGAGAAAACUAAUUGGAGGAGCAUAGAAAGGAUAGAAAAUGGUAGAUAGUUCUGCAAUGCUGCCUCUGUCCACCAGAGAGAGCCAGAGGACCCGCAGCCAAAAGCUCAGAGGGAGGCUGAAAUCAUUGCAGUGUCCCAAUGAAUGCGUUGCUCAGACGCAAUGCCUUAUGAGAAAACUUUACGUUUUUUUUUUUCUCCCCCAUCAUAUUAGGACAUGUUUGUAUAUUUGCCGAGUACACCUUUUGAGUAUUAAGUUGCUGUGUGACGAAUUUAGUGUUAAAGUGUUCUUUGAAAGAUGACACUGAGUCAGAAUGUUAUGUUGUUACAUGCGGAUAAUGACCCCUGCGAUUUCCAGUGGGUUGACAAGCUCGUUGUGAGUGCACUGAUAGCUCGUGAUUGGCUCCUGCCAAAGAAAGAGCUACCGUUUCCUCACUGACUUGCGAGCGGCACACUAAACAAUUAGUGGAAGUUCUGAAGUAAAGGAGAUGUCACGGGAUUAGAAUUUAGCCGCACUCCUGUAUAAGCCGCAGGGUUCAAAGUUUAAGAAAAAAUGUAGUGGCUUAAAAACUGGAAUUUACGGUACAUGCUGUGAUAUCUUUAUGAACGACUCUUAUGAAUUGUCCAUCUGUGAACAGCUUCCUCCUCCUUACGCUCUCCAGUGCAGCGAGUCAGCUACAAGACUAGCAGCCGUCGUUGGGUUUGGAGCCUUCAUCCACUUCAUGAAAGUAUGUUUGCUCUGCUCAACCUUCCGUAGUAGUUCCGAAAUCGCUCCCUUACGCCCAUCUGCAGUUGGGUACUUUUCAGAAAAAGUUGGAUACAUUUUCCAUAUCAAGCACACGAGUGGGUGAGCCAGCGUCAUUAGCAGUGAAGACAAAGGAAUAUGUCCAUUCAGAAUUAAACUCUUUUGUCCAACAUUUUUGGAGUUUACCGCCGUGGUAGCACACUCUUAACACGUCUUUUUCGUGUGGCCCUCCUCCCCCUGUCCCUUGCUCAUCCAAUCAGCAGUCUAGAUGCAUUCAAGGGCUUGCGGUGAGUCAGGUAUUUCAUGCUCUUUUUGAAAAUGCACAUUUCCUCCACUUUGGUGCUAAAAAACCUCCACAGAGUUUGGCGUGGGAGCCGCAACAAGGGGGCUGAAGAGCCGCAUAUGGCUCUGGAGCCACGCGUUGCCAACCACGAGUGGCACCUCUGCCACUUUGCCAGUCGACCAUUGAGAAGUCCACCAUACACGCAUUUGUAGAACCUCUGAGAAGAAACCAUGGCCGUCUGUGUCUCAUACAGCCUUGCUGAAAAUAACUCCACGCCCAAGCAAACUGGCAAACGUCUAAUGAUCCUCCAUCCAUCAACGUCAGCCUGCUUCCAGUGAAAUAUCGCUCCGUGGGCGCCACAUUUCUUUUCUAGGACCGAGCUGCGGAAAGGAAGAAGCUUCCAGCCCACUUCAGAGUCGCUAAUAAGGCGGCAAAUGGAAGAAGCGGACACUGCAGGAGAUGAAUGGACAUCACCGUGAAGGUGGACGGAAGGUACUCAACAACACUCAACGCGCAGAAUGAUCAUCUCUGCUGAUGAGUUCAGGGAACUCAUUGUCAUUUCUGAUUGAUUCCUGCAAAGUGAAUCACAAAGUGACUGGAAGAAGCUUUCCAGGCAACUUCUUUAAGCUGUAAUGCCUGCCAGGCAGCCUGGAAAUAAGCCAGUGUUCAGUCACUCACGACGGGCGAGGAUGAGCUAGUGGACCAACGACUGGUUUGAGUGCGGGUUGCACUCAAUAAAGUGACUUUCUUUUCCUAAUUGAGCAGUUUCAGCGAUCCACUUUGCACAAUCAAUGGUGAACAAGUGCUGCUGUGUGGUGGCCUUCAGAGAGGUAAGAAACAGGAUUACAAGGACUGACAUCAAGAGUGGACCAAACCAGAAACACAGCUCGUCUCUUCCUACGGCAAACUGAUGAAAGAUGUCAAAAACGCAGAACUGCUGAGCAUUCAUCUGCCUGUCUCGUUGGCCUUGGUCUGCCUGAUAAAGAACAUAAAGUGACGCUCUGACCUCAUCACAGAACUCAUUUCACUGAUUGUAUAAGCCGCUGAGAUCCUUCUCAUGUCCCCAGAAGGAGCUCAUCCGAGAGCUAAAUAGCGACUUUUUGGCCUUUUGUCUGCGUCUUUAAUGUGCCGCCAGGUGACACCUUGCGGGUUAACCACUUCUCAUUUACAAGCGUGCCGCUGAACACAAGGGGGAGGGAGCGAUCGCUCCCUUUUGGGAACCUACCCGCCUCGAUAAACAAGGGAACACUGUAUUUACAUUCUGUUCAGCUUGCAUGUCACAAAAUUCAGUUUUUGAGCAAAAUUUGUAUGUUUUCCUUU